UGUCACGACUUCUACCGAAGAAGACACAAUCAUCAUGGUCAAUGAAAAUGUAACAGAGUACAAGGGAACAGCAAUGAGAAGCCUGGACAUCCUGAAUGCAUCCCGAUUGACAUACUGAAUACUGAAUGACAGCCAUCCCUGAACAGUCACCACUCCAGAUUCGAGAGCAGAUCUAUCUGCUGCCUUCGACACCGUGAACCAUCACAUCCUCCUCUCUACCCUCUCAUGGCUGGUUGUCUCAGGCUCUGCACACUCUUGGCUUGCAUCCUACCUGGCAGGCCGCUCCUACCAGGUGACGUGGAGAGGAUCUGUGUCUGCGCCACAUACUAUCACUACUGGUAUCCCUCAGGGCUCUCCUCUUCUCUCUAUUAGAGGUCGAC
ensembl:lncRNA